CAGCUCCAGAAGUUUUAAGCGGGGGUCCACACUGCUGACUGGUGGUCUCUUGGAAUUAUGCUGUUUGCAUUGGUGACAGGAGAGUUUCCAGUACCUGCAGAGACAGACCACUGUACCAUGUUGAAGAAGGUCAGAGAUUUUCCUUACGUCUUACCCAACACCCUCAGCUCUGCUCUGCUGUUACUGCUCACUGAGCUUUUGUGCAAGAGCCCAAUGAACCGGCUUCGUCGUCCAUCCAUCCAUCCAUUUUCUUCCGUUUAUCUGGGACCGGGUCGCGGG